GAUGAACGCUGGCGGCGUGCCUAAUACAUGCAAGUCGAACGAGUUCUCGUUGAUGAUCGGUGCUUGCACCGAGAUUCAACAUGGAACGAGUGGCGGACGGGUGAGUAACACGUGGGUAACCUGCCCUUAAGUGGGGGAUAACAUUUGGAAACAGAUGCUAAUACCGCAUAGAUCCAAGAACCGCAUGGUUCUUGGCUGAAAGAUGGCGUAAGCUAUCGCUUUUGGAUGGACCCGCGGCGUAUUAGCUAGUUGGUGAGGUAACGGCUCACCAAGGCGAUGAUACGUAGCCGAACUGAGAGGUUGAUCGGCCACAUUGGGACUGAGACACGGCCCAAACUCCUACGGGAGGCAGCAGUAGGGAAUCUUCCACAAUGGACGCAAGUCUGAUGGAGCAACGCCGCGUGAGUGAAGAAGGCUUUCGGGUCGUAAAACUCUGUUGUUGGAGAAGAAUGGUCGGCAGAGUAACUGUUGUCGGCGUGACGGUAUCCAACCAGAAAGCCACGGCUAACUACGUGCCAGCAGCCGCGGUAAUACGUAGGUGGCAAGCGUUAUCCGGAUUUACUGGGCGUAAAGCGAGCGCAGGCGGUUUUUUAAGUCUGAUGUGAAAGCCCUCGGCUUAACCGAGGAAGCGCAUCGGAAACUGGGAAACUUGAGUGCAGAAGAGGACAGUGGAACUCCGUGUGUAGCGGUGAAAUGCGUAGAUAUAUGGAAGAACACCAGUGGCGAAGGCGGCUGUCUGGUCUGUAACUGACGCUGAGGCUCGAAAGCAUGGGUAGCGAACAGGAUUAGAUACCCUGGUAGUCCAUGCCGUAAACGAUGAAUGCUAGGUGUUGGAGGGUUUCCGCCCUUCAGUGCCGCAGCUAACGCAUUAAGCAUUCCGCCUGGGGAGUACGACCGCAAGGUUGAAACUCAAAGGAAUUGACGGGGGCCCGCACAAGCGGUGGAGCAUGUGGUUUAAUUCGAAGCAACGCGAAGAACCUUACCAGGUCUUGACAUCUUUUGAUCACCUGAGAGAUCAGGUUUCCCCUUCGGGGGCAAAAUGACAGGUGGUGCAUGGUUGUCGUCAGCUCGUGUCGUGAGAUGUUGGGUUAAGUCCCGCAACGAGCGCAACCCUUAUGACUAGUUGCCAGCAUUUAGUUGGGCACUCUAGUAAGACUGCCGGUGACAAACCGGAGGAAGGUGGGGAUGACGUCAAAUCAUCAUGCCCCUUAUGACCUGGGCUACACACGUGCUACAAUGGAUGGUACAACGAGUUGCGAGACCGCGAGGUCAAGCUAAUCUCUUAAAGCCAUUCUCAGUUCGGACUGUAGGCUGCAACUCGCCUACACGAAGUCGGAAUCGCUAGUAAUCGCGGAUCAGCACGCCGCGGUGAAUACGUUCCCGGGCCUUGUACACACCGCCCGUCACACCAUGAGAGUUUGUAACACCCGAAGCCGGUGGCGUAACCCUUUUAGGGAGCGAGCCGUCUAAGGUGGGACAAAUGAUUAGGGUG
rnacentral:rRNA from 2 species